rnacentral:rRNA from 1 species
AGCGGGCGGCAGCUUACACAUGCAGUCGAACGAUGACUCUCUAGCUUGCUAGAGAAGAUUAGUGGCGGACGGGUGAGUAACAUUUAGGAAUCUGCCUAGUAGUGGGGGAUAGCUCGGGGAAACUCGAAUUAAUACCGCAUACGACCUACGGGUGAAAGGGGGCGCAAGCUCUUGCUAUUAGAUGAGCCUAAAUCAGAUUAGCUAGUUGGUGGGGUAAAGGCCCACCAAGGCGACGAUCUGUAACUGGUCUGAGAGGAUGAUCAGUCACACCGGAACUGAGACACGGUCCGGACUCCUACGGGAGGCAGCAGUGGGGAAUAUUGGACAAUGGGGGCAACCCUGAUCCAGCCAUGCCGCGUGUGUGAAGAAGGCCUUUUGGUUGUAAAGCACUUUAAGCAGGGAGGAGAGGCUAAUGGUUAAUACCCAUUAGAUUAGACGUUACCUGCAGAAUAAGCACCGGCUAACUCUGUGCCAGCAGCCGCGGUAAUACAGAGGGUGCGAGCGUUAAUCGGAAUUACUGGGCGUAAAGCGAGUGUAGGUGGCUCAUUAAGUCACAUGUGAAAUCCCCGGGCUUAACCUGGGAACUGCAUGUGAUACUGGUGGUGCUAGAAUAUGUGAGAGGGAAGUAGAAUUCCAGGUGUAGCGGUGAAAUGCGUAGAGAUCUGGAGGAAUACCGAUGGCGAAGGCAGCUUCCUGGCAUAAUAUUGACACUGAGAUUCGAAAGCGUGGGUAGCAAACAGGAUUAGAUACCCUGGUAGUCCACGCCGUAAACGAUGUCUACUAGCCGUUGGGGUCCUUGAGACUUUAGUGGCGCAGUUAACGCGAUAAGUAGACCGCCUGGGGAGUACGGCCGCAAGGUUAAAACUCAAAUGAAUUGACGGGGGCCCGCACAGCGGUGGAGCAUGUGGUUUAAUUCGAUGCAACGCGAAGAACCUUACCUGGUCUUGACAUAGUGAGAAUCCUUGCAGAGAUGAGGGAGUGCCUUCGGGAA